AUCACCUCAUACUGAAGUAAUUUUCAGUGAUAACAAUAAAAGCUUGUCUGUGCUCUGAAUUCUUCUUUUUUGACCAACCAGUUUUUGGUCCAGUGACAAGACAGACCUUCACAAGAUCUGAAAUGAAGUAGCUUGGCUCUUCUAUGUUACAAUCACAAAUUUAAAACCAGUAUUUAAAGUGAAAAGUAUUAAAAAUUAUGAAGAAAACCCCUGGUUUGUAGUUAUUUCUAACUUUCAGUGCUUUAAAGGAAACUUACUUAAAUAUUUUACGCUGUAACCAACCUUUGGAUUAUAUAUGAAGUUGUAUGCCGUACUACAGUGUAGUAAUGUAAAACAUUUAACAGAAAGCAGCUUGCUUGUGUUACUGAGGUUGCUGAAGUGAAAACUGGAAUGCCACAUGAGCUGUUGAUGUGUGAAAAACCUCAUUCUGUACUAGCAUAUCAGAAGCAUGUUAGACGAUACUCCUGUACAGUAUAGUUUUAAUAUAGAGGACUUCCAAAGUUGUA